CCCUUAGAUGUUCUAGGCCGCACGCGCGCUACACUGAUGCAUUCAACGAGUUUCUUCCUGGUCCGAGAGGAAUGGGUAACCUUUUGAAAGUGCAUCGUGAUAGGGAUAGACUAUUGCAAUUAUUGGUCUUCAACGAGGAAUUCCUAGUAGACGUAGUUCAUCAGACUGCAUCGAUUACGUCCCUGCCCUUUGUACACACCGCCCGUCGCUCCUACCGAUUGAAUGCUCAGGUGAGCCAUUCGGACUUUCAUCAUGCUGGUUUCCAGUUUUGAUGAAGGAAAGUCUUGCGAACCUUAUCAUUUAGAGGAAGGAGAAGUCGUAACA
rnacentral:rRNA from 1 species